rnacentral:rRNA from 1 species
ACGGGUGAGUAACACGUGGGUAACCUGCCUGUAAGACUGGGAUAACUCCGGGAAACCGGAGCUAAUACCGGAUAGUUCCUUGAACCGCAUGGUUCAAGGAUGAAAGACGGUUUCGGCUGUCACUUACAGAUGGACCCGCGGCGCAUUAGCUAGUUGGUGGGGUAAUGGCUCACCAAGGCGACGAUGCGUAGCCGACCUGAGAGGGUGAUCGGCCACACUGGGACUGAGACACGGCCCAGACUCCUACGGGAGGCAGCAGUAGGGAAUCUUCCGCAAUGGACGAAAGUCUGACGGAGCAACGCCGCGUGAGUGAUGAAGGUUUUCGGAUCGUAAAGCUCUGUUGUUAGGGAAGAACAAGUGCGAGAGUAACUGCUCGCACCUUGACGGUACCUAACCAGAAAGCCACGGCUAACUACGUGCCAGCAGCCGCGGUAAUACGUAGGUGGCAAGCGUUGUCCGGAAUUAUUGGGCGUAAAGGGCUCGCAGGCG